rnacentral:rRNA from 1 species
CCUACGGGGGGCAGCAGUAGGGAAUAUUGCUCAAUGGGGGAAACCCUGAAGCAGCAACGCCGCGUGGAGGAUGAAGGUUUUAGGAUUGUAAACUCCUUUUGUUAGAGAAGAUUAUGACGGUAUCUAACGAAUAAGCACCGGCUAACUCCGUGCCAGCAGCCGCGGUAAUACGGAGGGUGCAAGCGUUACUCGGAAUCACUGGGCGUAAAGAGUGCGUAGGCGGGGUAAUAAGUCAGAUGUGAAAUCCUGUAGCUUAACUACAGAACUGCAUUUGAAACUGUUACUCUGGAGUGUGGGAGAGGUAGGUGGAAUUCUUGGUGUAGGGGUAAAAUCCGUAGAGAUCAAGAGGAAUACUCAUUGCGAAGGCGACUAUCUGGCUGUACAUUGACGCUGAGGCUCGAAAGCAUGGGGAUCAAACAGGAUUAGAUACCCGGGUAGUC